ACUAUUUUUAUCUGUGUAUGUCUGAAA
rnacentral:piRNA from 1 species